GUCAGGAAGCUUUAUCUUACGGAUCAUCCGGUAAAGGGACAGAGGUGGUCCGUUGGUGCGACUCAUAAACAACCUCUUCAGCACAACCUGGUUGAAUGUGGAGUUGUUCCCUCUGACCAGAAACCUGUACAGUUUGACCAACAGCCUCAGGUUGUAAGAUUGAUGCCAUGACUGGAAAGACUUUUGGAUUGCUUCCCUUGGUGGAGGUGGAGGACAUAUUUUAUAUAUGGGAAAAAUAGAGAGCUAAAUGUUUUCUUACCAGAAGUCUAGACUGUGGAAGUCAUUAGAAUUGUUUGCAGAUAUUUUAGUUCUCACCCUUCUGCAAACCUGAGAGAACUGGAAUCCUUCUAUCUUUGAUGAUAGCCAUGGCCAUUAGGCUUGGCUUUGGUUAAUGAAUUAUGAGUAGACAUAAUUUGUGUGACUUCCAGAAAAAAAUUAUUUAAUAGCAAGUACAUGUUUUGUUAUGUUCCUCUCUCCCUGGUGAAUGGCAAAGUCCCAGAUGGUGGAAGCUCCGCCAUCUUGAGUUCCUGUGUGACUGAGGUGAGAUGAGCAUGUUGCAUGAGCAAUAAGUAAAACAAGCAAUGUUUUAGCCACUUGAAUUUUGGAAGUGUUUUUACUGUGGCACAACAUAAUACAGCCUGAAUGUUCUAACUUCAAACUAGAUAGAAUCAAAUAAAAUAAAU
rnacentral:antisense_RNA from 1 species